rnacentral:rRNA from 1 species
CACGUAGGCACCAAGCGUUGUCCGGAUUUAUUGGGCGUAAAGAGCUCGUAGGCGGUUCGGUAAGUCGGGUGUGAAAACUUUGGGCUCAACCCAAAGCCUGCAUCCGAUACUGCUGUGACUUGAGUCCGGUAGGGGAGUGGGGAAUUCCUGGUGUAGCGGUGGAAUGCGCAGAUAUCAGGAGGAACACCGGUGGCGAAGGCGCCACUCUGGGCCGGUACUGACGCUGAGGAGCGAAAGCGUGGGGAGCGAACAGG